ensembl:lncRNA
GUAUGUUGCUGACCACCCCUGCCAUUCUUCCAUUUGAACUUUUGACACUCUGUAUUAGAUGUGAUGAAGGUCAUGUACUUUGUUUGUGUAUGAAUACAUGACAUGAUUACCAAAUAAGGGAGAAUGUAGGGGAGGAAUACAAAGGAUAUGCAAAGUUAUAAAAGGGAGAGAAAAUCUGAGUGCGGGGCCGCACUUCGAUGGUGAAUACUUACUCGCUUUUAUUUUUCAUUUUAGAUUACUUAUGAGUUAUUGUCUAUUAAUAAAACGAAACCAUAACAAAUGGUGAUGCGAAAAUUCUUAUUAAACAAUAAAGUCUCUGAGUAAUUCAUUUAUGAAUAAUAAAUCAUUAUAAACUGAAUAAUCCUAUGAGCUUCAAGCAGACCGAACUCAGCUGAGCAGUCGCGGGUGCCGGGGAGGAUUCCACAUCUUCUUAAUCGCAGAUCCGGACCUCAGUGAUGCCUGACUGUGUGACGUCACAAAGACAUUUGUUUCUUAAGGAAAUGCACCUCCAAUCAACCUAAAUGCAUCUUUCUUCACGCAAAUCAUUUGUGGUCCAGCUUCACCAACAGAAAAAGUUGGAACAAAAUUUCGUUCUGUAUUUGGAGGAGGAGGAGGAGCAACAAAGGCGAUACCCUCAUGUCCUACAAUUUUGGGAUAAAAUCCAUCCUCCAUUAUUGUGGGAGAAAUGACACUGAACAAGACCAUCUUUUUACAAGCAGUUGAUACAUGGUUUAGAUUAUUUUACAUUUCGAACACUGAGUAUCCCAAGCCUGUUUCAGCUGUAAUUACACUGUCUGUACUAGCUUUGUUCUGUUUGUUUGUUUAUUAGUGAAUUUAUAUUUAUCUUGUAAACUGAAACAAUUGCAAGUAACCUAAUGUGAUAAGAAAGUGAUUAAUAAGACGAUUUCAACCAAU